rnacentral:rRNA from 1 species
AUGGCCGUGCCAUGCGUUCGCCUCGCCCUCCUCCUCUGUUUGAUUAUCCCAGCCACCGUUGCCUCACCUCGGAGCCUACGCAAAUCCCCAGCCAGCCCGUCGCGGCCGACCGCCUUCUUCGAGGUGGACCGCCCGCCACGCGCACGCGGCAGCUCCGGCCGCCGGUGCUCCACGCUCCUGCUGUCCGCCUCCUUCGGCUCCACCUUCCACAAGCCCCCCGCCACCGUCGCCUACUCCCCGCCGCGCUGCCUCGUCAAGGCGGGCGGCCGUGCCUCGGCGAUCUCCCUCGCGGAGCUCGAGUGGCGUGCCGCCUGCCAGGGAGCCCAGCUCGACAGGAUCUUCGGCGUCUGGCUCGGCGGCGCCGAGCUCCUCCGUGGCAGCACCGCCGCGCCGCCGCCCAACGGCAUCGUCUGGUCCGUCUCCAAGGACGUCACCAAGUACGCGUCCCUCCUCGCCGCCGCCGGCAACUCCACCUUGGCCGUCUACCUCGGCAACCUCGUCAACACCACGCUCACCGGCGUGUACCAUGCCAACGUCACGCUCCACCUCUACCUCCGCCGCACGCCGCCGACGAAGCCGCCGCCCGCCAUGGCCCCCGCUGACCUCAUCGUCCCGAUGGCGCGAGCCCUCCCUCUGAACGGCGGGCUGUGGUUCCCGAUCAAGAGUGCCGCCGACAUCGCGUCCAAGAGCGUCGCGCUGCCAUCCAACACCUACCGCGCGGUCCUCGAACUCUACGUCUCGUUCCACGAAGACGACGAGUUAUGGUACAAAAAAGAACCAGCCCGGGUACCAGAACGGCCCGUUCCGCGAGGUCACCGCUCGCGUCGACGGUCUCCUCGCCGGCUCCGUGUGCCCGUUCCCCGUCAUCUACCCCGGCGGCAUCUACCCCCUCCUAUGGAGGCCCAUCGUCCCCAUCGGCUCCUUCAACCUCCCGACGUACGACAUCGAGCUCACGCCUUUUCUGGGCAAGAUGCUGGACGGGAAGGCGCACGAGUUCGCGUUCGCGGUGACCAACACCGUGGGCGUGUGGUACGUCGACGCCAACCUCCACCUCUGGCUGGACCCCGGGGCCACGGCGACCACGGCGGGCCUCGUGAGCUACGUCGCGCCGCCAGCGAACACGACGUCGUCCAAGCACACGACGGUGAACCGACUCGUCUCUGUCACGGGGUGGGUGAAGUCAUCGUGCGGGAACAUAACGACCAACGCCACGAGGACGUUUUCCCUCUCCUCACCUUCGAGAUGCUGGACCUGACCAUCGUUGCGGACACCGGCGCCGUCGCCACGGACGGCGCCGGCGGCGUCCUGUACUCGGCGCAGAUUCAUGGGAACUUCCCGCUUGGCUGGGUCUAUCAACAGAAUAUUCUAACCGUCACGCACGGGUUGGAGGAGACGACGGUGGCCGCCGGCCGGUGGUCGUUGGCGCCGCCGUACCAGUCGCUACGCACCACAGAGAGCAGCCUCGUGGAGGAUGAGGAGGGAGGAGGUAAGUCAUGGGGCGUCCGGCAGACGUACAGGUACAACGCCACCGACGGGUGCUAUUUCAAGAACAUGACCAACAACAACUACAACGUUGUGUCGGACCAGUCCAAUGAGUUCCAU